GACGUAGGGCGCGAGCGUUGUCCGGAUUUAUUGGGCGUAAAGAGCUCGUAGGCGGCUUGUUGCGUCAGCUGUGAAAACCCGCAGCUCAACUGUGGGCUUGCAGCUGAUACGGGCAGGCUUGAGUUCGGUAGGGGAGACUGGAAUUCCUGGUGUAGCGGUGAAAUGCGCAGAUAUCAGGAGGAACACCGGUGGGCGAAGGGCGGGGUCCUCUGGGCCGAUACUGACGUGAGGAGCGAAAGCGUGGGGAGCGAACAGG
rnacentral:rRNA from 1 species